AUUGAACGCUGGCGGCAGGCCUAACACAUGCAAGUCGAACGGCAGCACAGAAGAGCUUGCUCUUUGGGUGACGAGUGGCGGACGGGUGAGUAACGUCUGGGAAACUGCCCGAUGGAGGGGGAUAACUACUGGAAACGGUAGCUAAUACCGCAUAACGUCGCAAGACCAAAGUGGGGGACCUUCGGGCCUCACACCAUCGGAUGUGCCCAGAUGGGAUUAGCUAGUAGGUGGGGUAAUGGCUCACCUAGGCGACGAUCCCUAGCUGGUCUGAGAGGAUGACCAGCCACACUGGAACUGAGACACGGUCCAGACUCCUACGGGAGGCAGCAGUGGGGAAUAUUGCACAAUGGGCGCAAGCCUGAUGCAGCCAUGCCGCGUGUAUGAAGAAGGCCUUCGGGUUGUAAAGUACUUUCAGCGGGGAGGAAGGCGGUGGAGUUAACAGCUUCACCGAUUGACGUUACCCGCAGAAGAAGCACCGGCUAACUCCGUGCCAGCCGCCGCGGUAA
rnacentral:rRNA from 1 species